UUUUGAUUUACAGGAGGGAAUUGUGGGAGGAGCCGAGUAACUAUAUAUCAGCUUUGGUGGAAACAGUUGCUCGUUCUGCUUGCAGCGACUGAUCGGUGCAGGUCGGUUCCGACUUCACAAACUCUGGGUUUGCUGCCGCUCUUUGUGGGUGCAUCGAUUUCAGAUCCCUCGACGAGCAACCUUAAACUCAAAAGGUGAAAGAAAAUGGCCCCAAGAAGAAAUACUGGAAAUUGCAGAUUGGAAACCCGAAUUUGGAGAAGGUUUUGCGAGCUGUUCAUGGCUGUCAGCGUCUCCGCUUUUUUGGAUCGCUGCAUUGAAGAGAAAUAUGGAAAGAAAUAAUGUCACCACCAUCGACGCAAUGGAAACCGCGACUCAUGUGAGAGUGUAUGCCACACACCGAACUCCCCCGAGGAAGCAAAGGGAAAAGGUUAAGUGUAGGAGGGGGAAAGGGUCAGAGUUUACUCAGCGUAACAGUGACACAAAUGCUGCUAAAGAGAGAUUAAGAAACAGAAAGGAGCUGGCUGAUGCUGAAAUAACACAUUCUUGGGUUCGGAGGUGAGAUUGAAGGGUCUGUCCCGCACACAGCAGUGGGCCUAGCUGAACAAUCAUUAUGCGAGAGUUUGCACAGGACUUGACAGAAGUCCCAAUAUUACUGAUGCACGGGGUGUAACACACUCGCCCAAUAAAUGCAAUAAAAUACUGGGCAUCUGGAAUUUAAAAACAAAACAGAAAAAAAUGGUGGAAACACUCAACAGGUCAGCAUCACCUGUAGAGAGAAACAAAUUGAACAGUUGAGGUCGAAGACUUCUAGGCAGAACACAGUUGAAACUUGAGGAAGGCAGGAUUGAAAUAUAUUUGAAUGUGUAAAAUGCGCAGAGCAUGUAACUAGAGAGAACAGCCAUCACUCCAUUGUAAACAAGAUCAGAAUGCAGAUUCGAGAGGCAAGGGCGAAGAAACAGCUGAUGGGGAGAGGUGUGUCUGUGUGUUGGAUACAGCCCACCAUGGUCGCGGUUUCUGAAUCUGCCCCUUUCCACAUUCUGUUUACAAUGGCUCAAGGCUUUUUUAUCCAUUCGCUGGCUGGGCCAGCAUGUAUUGCCCAUCCCUAGUUGCCCUUGAGAAGGUGGUGGUGAGCUGCCUUCUUGAACCGCUGCCGUCCAUAUUGUCAUUAAUGCGUUGUGUUAAUGUGACUGGUAUUUAAAUUGAAGCUUCAUGAUCAGGUCUGUCAUUUGCUGUACCGCUAUCUGGGUCAACAUGUAAAGAACGAUAAUGCUCCUGAUUCAGGAACCUCCUGCAAAACCUGUGGAAAAACCAUAUGGAGCAUGUAUGGAGCGAACUUUGAAAGGCGCAACACCUGGGAGAUACCUCCAUUUUAAGAUAUAUACAAAUUAGCAGCAGGAGUAGGCCACUCGGUCCCACGAGCCUGCUUUGCCAUUCAAUAAGAUCAUGGCUGACCUGAUUGUAACCUCAACCCCAUAUUCCCACUAACCCCCAAUAACCUUUCACCUUUUUGUUAAUCAAGAAUCUACCUACCUCUGCCUUAAUGUUCAACGACUGUCUUUUGAAGAAGAGUUUCAACGACCCUCUAAAGCUACCUGAAACAGCAUAUGCUGGGCAUGUGUAGAGCGUUCAUAUCCAAUGUCAUGCACUUUGUUUUUUUAUCACUUUGAUCGCACCUUAUUGACAGAUGAAUUUAAUAAAAAAAAGAAUAAAGCUCAUUAUUUCAUGAAA